CUACAGCCAAUUAAGCUGACUGUCCUCCUUCCCUGUGGGGGCUGGUGUGCAACGGCUGCAAGCAGCAGCCUCCUCAGUGGUGUACCCAGCCUGUUGCACAUACAAGUUGCCCUAAGGAACCCUGGAGACAGCC